AUUUUCCCCAGUUAGUGUUGAUUAUUGAUGUGGUUUGCUCAGAGGGAAGCACAACUGAUUCUUUAGCUCAUUUUUGUUGCUGUACAUAUCCAGAUGAAGCCGCACCAUAACACUUAUGUCAAGCCCCCUCUAGUUUCUAUGUAGCUUGAUGAAUCAAUCGGAUUUUGAAUUCAUCGGUACAUGUCUUCACAUGCAUUAUAGUCCAUACAUGGUUUGGGCACUAAAAUCAAAUUUAUUUGGCUGUUCAUGCACAGGAUUUAUCUGCUUAAUUAUUCAGGAUUAGAAGUUCCAAUUCUGAAUUUUGUAGUUGCGAAGUAGCUAGCUCCAGUGUAUUUAAAUAUUUGGCAAUAAUAGUGGAUGUUAGUCUAUUUGAGGUGUUGCUAGAUGUGUAAUCUUUGCUUCAUGUGAUUGUAAUUCAUGUGACGGUAGCAACGGUUAGCUUUGGUCGGUGGCACCGACUCCCCAUUCAAAAAUUAAAGUUGGUCUCCCUAGACCAUUUGGUAAUUUCUUCACGUGUUUCCACACAUGGAUGUGUUAAUGGGUUCCUUACUUUCCUAAUUGUCUUCUGUUGAUUUAUGAUAUUUGUGGGGUGAUUCUACUAAUGAAUUAACGAUAUUCAUGCCCGGAAAGAAACCUGUAAGCUCAUCAUUUCAUCUCACUCUGUCAGCAGAAGAGCUAGGAAGAUUCUUUGCUCGGAUGCAAGCAACAGGAGCUGACAUAGUGAAAAUUGAAACCACUGCUACUGAGAUCGUUGAUGUGUCAAGAAUAUUUUGAAAUGCUUGUGCACUGCCAAGCAUCAAACAAGAACUGCUCAGCACUGAGGAAGACAUGACUUCAGCUCUCAACUAAGCAAGCCUGACAAUUGUGGCAAAUGGAAAGGAACUACUAUGCUGUAAGUUGUUUUCAGUCAACAAGUGAUUAUGCCACGGAGGUGGAGAUGUGUUCAUCCGGGAUCACCAUGGAGUCCCUCUGGCGGGGGCAUGCCAUUUUUCCCCGAGUGACUGACCCGGAGAGAGCUGAGCUGCUUGCGUGUCACCAUGCUGUUAACUUGGCGAAGGAGUUGGGACUGAUGAAAAUAGCACUGGAAACGGACUGUACUGUGGUGGUGGCGAAACUUCAGGACAGCGACAAGAACCGGUCGAUCCACGGGCCAUUUGUGGAAGAAAUCAAAGCGUCUCUUGGGGGAACUUGAUGAUUUCAGGGUCCUUCACGUGCGACGAUCUGGUAAUUUGGUGGCUCACAAAUUAGCUUAGGAUGGCUGUAUGAAUAAGUGUUGUAAUAGAUGGGUAUCAUGGGUUGAAUCCCUCCCAGACUUUGUGUUAAACCUUGCCGCUCUGAACAUGGGCAAUUAAUAAAGAUGGCAGCCAUUUGAUCUAAAAAAAACAAGUGAUUAUGCCAUUUGGAGAAUGUAAUUUGCUAUUUAGAAUGAUUCUGGGAUAUGUUUUUUUGGCAAAUGAGGCAUAUAGCUCA